rnacentral:lncRNA from 1 species
GUUAAUCAACAAGCAAAAUAGCAGCCAAUCGAACAGUGUACCCAGAUUUUCAGUAGAGUUUUGAGAAAAUUAAAAUCCCAAAAAAAUAAGAACAACAGUGGUAGUUUCUCACAGAUAUAGAAGAUCUAAUUGUUUUCAGCAGAGUUUUGAGAAAAAUUAAAAUCCCAAAAGAAUAAGGAUAGCACUGGUAGUUUCUCGUAGAUAUAGGAAGAGCUAAUAUUUAUUGUUAUCUCUAGAAUUCAAAAGAAAUAUUUCGGAUCCUUCGGAAAAUGCUCAGGUGGUUUCUUUUAUAGUGGAGCCUUAGGGCAUCAGUUUUCCUUUAUUUUUUUCCUUUUAGUCCCUGAGUUAGUUUUCAGCUUUUCUUAAAUGAUCCCUCAUUUCCUGACUUGUGCCUCAAGUUUGAGGUAGAAAUUGUGUUUUAAUCCCUCAGUAGAAUGUUUUAGGGGAUUACUAUCAGAUUUUUAAAGUUUAAAUCCCCCUUAUACCCCUAUUUCUUUUCCUAAAUAACAAACUUGAGGUUUUAACCUCAGUAAUUCCUUGACCCUGGUCGAUUGUAUUUGGGUUAUGGGCCAAGGUUUGGUCUUGGAUUAACAGGUCAAUUGGAUCCACACAACUAAGUGUCAUAAUAUGGAUUGGCUUAUCACUUAUUAUAUCUUAGGAUCAUAAACAUUCAUGUUUUUUUAUAUUAGAACCAAUAGAUCACUAUCAACCUGAAAACCAAUCAACUAAUACUUAUUAUAAGAAAAUCCUAUUUAAAUCACUCAAUAAAAACUUGACACAGGGAUUGAAAUGAGUAACAGGGAUUGCACAUUCAGUUCAUGAACAAAAUCAGGAAGCAAUUAAAGAUUCAACCAAACAAAUUAGCCUAAACUAU